ensembl:lncRNA
CUGAUCUUUAAAGCUAGGACAAAUUCACAAAAAAAUCCAUACAUAGGUUUUGAGAAAUGAUUCUUUAUUUGAAAACACUGAAGGCAAUAAGAUGGAAUGAGAGGAUAACAUUUUAGUAGAUUACUCAAAACAGCUUGAUAGGGAAAACAACACAAGAACUUCAAGUUCUAAGUCACAGAUUAAAGUCUAGACUAAAAGCAAAAGCAAUCUAAUAAUGAAAACAACAGCCUAAAACAAUCCAGAGUCACUCGCUGUAGGAAAUCUUAAGAUAUGAAGAGCAGUUUUAGGACAGUAAAACAAAGAUCAUAAGUCUAAAGGGACAAUAGUCUUUAGGACAUUUUUAAAACUAAGACAUAAGAAGGCAAUAUUAAAGUGUUAAGAGCAAAAUGGCGAGAUUUAAAACACUAAAAAGCAGUCUUAAAAUACUAAAACCAGUCUGGCAUAAUAAAAAGAAUCCUAAAGGUAAUCUAGAUUUACUAAAAGCAUAAUAAACAUGAUAAAGAUAAACUGGUAAAGGUCUUAUAAUACUGUAGAUGAUAAAAUAAUAAAACUCUAAUACAAUAGAAAUAGUCAGAAUAACAAUGGUUUAUGUUUCUACAGCUUCACAGUUUACAAAGCACUUCCCUCACAACAACCCUGUGAGGUAGGUAAAAGUAUUUUUAUUCCCAUCUGACAAAUGAGGAAACUGUGGCUCAGAGAGAGUAAAUGACCUGCUGAGCAUCAUGUGGAUAGUAAGGAGCAGUAGGAGAGUUGUAACCAAUGUCUUGAGCUCUUUCCAAGGUUUUACACUGCUUCUUUCCAUUGAGAGCCAAGACAAUGGUAUGGGUUGUACGAAUGUGAAUAACCUUCUUCGCCAAGAAGUUUAUGAUACAUUCCUAGAUCUGCAGUUAUUUAGUUAUCAUUUCUAGUCUACCCCUUCAUUUUUACAGAUGAGGGAACUGAGGUCUAGAGAAGCUAAUCUUCUGGUCCAAAAUAAUAAAGGUUGUAAAUGGCAGAGGAAGAACAGCAAAGCUGAACUCAGCACUUGGAACUUCAAAUUCAGGGCCCCUUACAUUGCUCUAUGCUGCCUCUCAAUACUGAUAACUCACACUAUAACUAAGCUCCUAAGGAGCUUUAGACAUUUCCAACAUUUCCUCUGUUCAAGUAAUGGUAGUGGAAGUGUUAUUAAUUUCCUUUUUUGCAAAUAAGGAGAUGGCAGCCCAAGGAGAUUGAGGGAUUUGCCUAAAAUCACACCGUUAGUGACUGCUGGAAUUAGGACAUAACCUCAGAACUCCUGGUCCAAGUGCAGACUCCCUCAUUUUAUGAUCCUCUGUUCUUUAGAGUCAGAUUCUUUUCUAGAUGAAAAUCUAGAAGGGCUGUCAUUCUCUAACUCCUAGUUUAGCACUCUACCCAGAGAAAGUAUUCAAUAAAUAUCGGCUGAUGAAAAUGAUGAUUACUGUCCCCAGCUUGCAUGCUCUGGUCAAGUAUGAGGACACUGCUUUUUACACUUAAAUAUAAUGGGAAAUUCAAACAGUUGCAGGCAGAUUCCCAUUUUCUCAACCUCCUUAUUUAUUUAUGAAUAAAUCUACAUUUUGUAGCGUUUAAGACAUCCAUUUGAACAAAUGAUCCUUUUAUUUAAUUAGAGACAAUUUUUCUAGAAAUGUACAUCAAUAUUUACCCCCAAAUAAAGAAGUGUUGUCGAAUUAUCUACAAGUUAGAAUUGGAAUAAAGCUCCGUAUUACACCAAAUAAAUGCUGGGCUUGAGCAAGUCAGUCUAAAUCAUUUGGGCAAAGUUUGAAUUGGGUGUCUUGGCAUAGGGAUUAAGUUGCUAAAUGUGCUGAGAAUUGUAGUUUUUGUCAGCUUAGAAUAAUACAAAGCUACUAGGAGAUUAGAAGUGGAAGGCUAAGUUUUUAUAUUGUAAUAUUAACUUAAAAAUCUUUGAAGAGGUCUAGAGAGGAUGAAUAAGGAAGAUAAAGAAGAGUUGUGGAGAAUGCAGUAGUAACAAAAGGAUAAUGAUUUCUAGGAGACUGACUCUUUAACACUUUGGAACCUUUUCAUUUUUCUGGCUUACUUUCUAGAUAAACAUCACUUAAUGUUCACUUAUUGUGAGGAUUUGUAUUCCUAGAUAUUUUAUUUUAUACAUUUUUAAAACAUCAUUUUGAGAAAGGAUCGAAAAGGGGUUUUUGACACAAAAAGGUUAGGAUUCCCUGGUUUUAGUGUAUGAGUCCCAAUUCCACAUGGCUUCUUUUCUCUGCCAUGUUAGAAGUUUUAAAAUACAUAUUAUUAGCACAAAUAAUAAAUCUCUGAAUCAGUAGGCAAUCAUUUGACUACCAAAUUGGAAAAGUGGUGUUCCAGUCAGAAGUAUUUAUAUAGUUAUUAGUUCUAUCCAUCCCCAGAAGUGAGAGUAGGGGAGAAAUAGUUUUCAGUCAGAUAUCUGCUGGGUAUCUGCUAGUGAGGGGAGGAUCUUACUAGUAAGAAUUACUAGUACUUACUAGAGAAGUAGGGUAUGGGAACCAAUCUUAAUAUGGAUCAAUUUUGAAUUUCAAAGUCUUCCAUAAAGUCAUGAAACAUUUAUAUAACUUUCUCUUUAGAACUAGUUUCCUUCUGUAAUAUUGUCUACCCUAAAAUUGUGUUUUACCACAACAAUAACAAUUCAUGUUUCAGUAACAUUCUGCAAUUUACAAAGCAAUGGCCUCAUUACUCUGGAAAAAGUAUUAGAAAUUGUUAUAUAUUUACCUACAAUUUACUAUGGUGCUAAAAGUGAAGAAUUAGAAGGAAAUAUAAAGCAGAGUAAUUGAUAGUUCAAGCUACUAAUUUAUUAGGUCAUGACAACUAGGGCCAUAGAUUUCAAGGAUAAUGCUACUAAUAAAUGUCAAGAUUCUGGGUUCUUAUAAUUCAGGGUUUUGUGUACAACAAGAUCCUCUGUAAACCAAGUGAAAUUCCAUUAAAAUUCAAAAGCAUAAAAUUACAUAGAAUGGGAUUGUAACAUUGGUAAUUAAAUCAUUUGCUCAAAUAAAAUUCAUUCUUAUGAUUCUUCUCAUUAAGCAAAAAUCCUUAUAAGAUUUUGAAGAGAUGACCAUGAGAUAUUUUGAGGUGGGAGAUGAGUAGAAGAAGAAAGUAGUAGAAAUGAACAACUAUUCUAAAAUCUUUUUUACAACAGAGCUUUGAAAAACUCAGUGUUCAUUGUUUUCCUGUUAUGGUAAUCAUAUUUUUCCCCCUGCUGCUAGACACUAUAUGUAGUGGGAAGAACAGUGUGUCCUAACUCUUCCACUUACUACCAGUGUGACAACAGGCAAAAACUUAACCUUUCUGAGUUUCAUUUUCUUCAUUUGUUAAACAAGGAUGAUGAGACAUCUACCAAGUACUUCACAGGUUUGCUGGGAUGAAAGUGCUUUAUUAAAAAUAAAGCACCAUUAAAUACUAAUUAUUGUUAAUCUUUUGUUUCCUUUCUCUAUUUCAGCUUGUGGAGGAGGAAUGGAAGGAUGUGGACAAAAGAUCCAUGGGAAAACAUGGAUGAAUUGUUAUCUUCAGAAUCAGAGGAAGUAACCCCAUAAAUGACCUUACAGAUUCUUGAAAUAAUAACUAACAUUUAAAUAAUGUUUAAGAGUUUGGAAAGCAUUUUAAGCAUAUGCUAUUUUAUUAGAUUCUCAUAACUAGUCUACUCCUGGCUUUUGUCAGUUUCCAUGCAGAGUGACAUACCACUAAACUACAGGUCUUCCACCAAUCUCAAUGACUGGGAGCACUUCUGUGACUCCCGAAAAAAUAAUUAUGAUUCCCUGAACUGAUACAAAGCUUUUACCAUCAAAGUCACAUUCUUUAUUCCUUAGUCAUUCAGAGAUAUAUGCACUAUUAUUAAACAAAACUAACAAGUUUGUUUAUCUGUGUCCAACAGAAGAAAAGCAUCAAAUUGUAAGGGAAUGGCAAAAGUGACUGUUGAUUGGUCAAAAUUGAGAGAGGAGACAUGAAAAAUUCAAAGUAAAUAUAGCAGGGAUGCAGAGAAAGAAUUUAUGCUAAAGGAAUCUGAGUAGCUCCAAGGUAAUUCAGUCCUUUUCUCCUCCCAAGAAAACUCCCAAGAGUACAGGUUCAUACGCACACAUGCACACACACUCACAUAUACACACAUACACACAUGUACAUAUAUACAUAUAUAGUUAUUGUAGGGGUUUCUAGGGAAAUAAGAAUUAUAAUAAAGGAGUUUCCAUUAUGUUAGUGAGGGAUGGUAAGGAAGCAUCAAUGACAAAAGCAGGGACUAUACAGCAAGCAUUAAGGAUUCUUGAGAAAUUGUGCAUACCCCAUUAAUCUGAUACUACUUAUCAGAGUUCUUAAGGGAGUAAAUAUUGAGGGAGAGAUGAUGUAGACUAGUGGUAGAUGAUGGAAUGAGGGUUUAAGCUGAUUCUAAAGAGAGAAGCAGGUUGAUACUACUUUCCAAUAAGGUACUUAAGCUAAAGGAGGAGAACUCCUUUGCAGUUGAAGAAGAAUUCAAGAAGAAAGAAGGGGACUUGAACCUACAAAUUGAAGGAGGAGAAUGAGGAACACGAGGGCUUGAGCAGAAAGAGAAGCAAAAGUCACUUAGAAAAGGAGGAAGAGAAGGAUGUGAAAGUGAAAGGAAGCUGGUAAAGCAUGCUAAGUAAAAGGAGUCAGGGACACUUGAACUGGAAGGUAUAUGAAACAAGUUUCCAGCUCCAUCCCAACCCCUCCAGCAUGGAUAAUAUGAAUGAACUAGCUGAUCAAUGUCAGAAGUGAAUGGGAGGUGAAAGGAAUUCGUUUAGGAUAACCUGCCUAGUAGGGAGGGCUGAAAGCCUUUCCCUAGGGAGGGUUUGGGGGGAAGGGGGAAAAGUAAGAACAGGAUAUUGACAGCUGUCUGAGUAUUAGCCAAGUGUGGUAUGUGCUGACUAUUAAAAGUGAUGAAAAUGUGUUGAUUAGCUCCCGGGCACGUUGGCCUGGAGCCGUUUCACAAAAAGUUGUUAACACUCUUUCCAGGGGAACAAAAAGCCACAGAGACGGAUAGAAAAUGAUAGCAGCGAGUCAGAGUAGCAGCUGCAGAUGACAGCUCUAGCAGUGGAAGAGUAAAGCAGUAAAUGCAGGUGGCAGUAGCAGCUCGGCAGAGCAAUUUACAGCUCCAGUAGAUGGCAACAGCCCCUUAGUAGAGGAGCAGCAGUGGAUGAUACUACAGCACAUGGCUAUAGCACUUUGGCAGAGAAUGAGCAACAGAGCAGCAGCUAAGUACUAGGAGUCGAUAGCUUAAGAAGAUGGCAGCAGCAAUUUGGCAGAGAAGUGGCAUCCGCUAAGCGGAGAAGCAAUAACUAAGGAGACAGCAGUAGAUGACACUACUAAGAUGCAUUAGCAUCUUAGUGCAGAUACGAGAGCAGCUGGCAAUAGUAGCUUAAUGAAGAAGUAAUAGCAGAUGAUUGGGGCAGCUAAGUGGAAGAACACCAGCAGAUGGUGAAUUAGCUAAGCAGAAAAGCAGUAGUAGAAAGCAGUAGCAGCUAAGCAGAGAGGCAGUAGAAGAUGAUGGCAGAAGCUAAGCAGCGAAGCAACAGGAGGUGGCAGCGGCAGCUAAGCAGAGAAGUAAUAGCAGAUGACAGAAGCAGCUAAGCAGAGAAGCAGCAGCAGAUGGCGGCAGAAGCUAAGCAGAGAAGCAGCAGCAGAUGGCGGCAGAAGCUAAGCAGAGAAGCAAUAGUAGAUGACAGCAGAAGCAGCUAAGCAGAGAAGUAGCAGCAGAUGGCAGAAGCAGCUAAGCAGAGAAGCAGAAGCAGAGGAUGACAGAAGCAGCUAAGCAGAGAAGCAGAAGCAGAGGAUGACAGAAGCAGCUAAGCAGAGAAGCAGCAGCAGAUGGCAGCAGAAGCAGCUAAGCAGAGAAGCAGCAGCAGAUGGCAGCAGAAGCAGCUAAGCAGAGAAGCAGCAGCAGAUGGAGGCAGAAGCUAAGCAAUACUAGAUGGUGCCAGCAGCUAAGUGGAGAAGAGCUGCAGAAGAUAGCAACAGCAGCUUAAUGGAGAAGCAAUAGCAGAUGAAGGUGGCAGUUAAGCGCAGAAGCGGUAGCAGCUAAAGCAGAGAAGCAAAAGAAGAUAGCUGCAGAAGAUGGCAUCAGUAGCUUAGCAGGAAAGCAAUAGCAGAUGGUGGCAGCAGCUUAGCAGAGAAGCUAUAGGAGAUGGUGGCAGUAGCUAAGCAGAGCAGUAAAAGUAGAGGGCAACAGAAGCUAAGCCGAGAACCAGAAGCUGCAAAAGAUAUUAACAGCAGCUUAGCAGAAAAGCAAUUAGCAGAUGGUGGUAGCAGCUUAGCAGAGAAGCAAUAGCAGAUAGUGGCAGUAGCUAAGCAGAGCAGUAAUAGUAGAGGGCAACAGAAGCUAAGCCGAGAACCAGAAGCUGCAAGAUAUUAACAGCAGCUUAGUAGAAAAGCAAUUAGCAGAUGGUGGUAGCAGCUUAGCAGAGAAGCAAUAGCAGAUAGUGGCAUAGCUAAGCAGAGCAGUAAUAGUAGAGGGCAACAGAAGCUAAGCCGAGAACCAGAAGCUGCAAAAGAUAUUAACAGCAGCUUAGCAGAAAAGCAAUUAGCAGAUGGUGGUAGCAGCUUAGCAGAGAAGCAAUAGCAGAUAGUGGCAGUAGCUAAGCAGAGCAGUAAUAGUAGAGGGCAACAGAAGCUAAGCCGAGAACCAGAAGCUGCAAGAUAUUAACAGCAGCUUAACAGAGAAGCAAUUAGCAGAUGGUGGUAGCAGCUUAGCAGAGAAGCAAUAGCAGACAGUGGCAGUAGCUAAGCAAAGCAGUAAUAGUAGAGGGCAAUAGAAGCUAAGCAGAAAGCCAGGAGCUGUAAGAAAUAUUAACAGCAGCUUAGCAAGAAGCAAUAGCAGAUGGUGGCAGUAGCUUAGCAGAGAAGCAAUAGCAGAUGAUGAGAGUAGCUCAGCACAGAAAUGGUAACAAAUGAGAGCUUCAGCAGAUGGCAGCAGGGCAUCAAUAGCCACUAGCACAUGAGCUUUAGCUCCAACAUGUGGCUAUGGAUUGGCAGGGAAGCAGCGAAUGGCCGCUUUGUAAGUAAAAUGGAAAGGCAGCUGCAGAGCAGGAGUGGAAGAAUUAUGUGUCAGAGUCAAUUGCUGGGGCAUGAAAGGUCUUUUAUACAUAACACAGCUCUUAUAGAAUGAAUUAUCCAGGGAAUGUUCCUUCUCCCAUUGGCAUCAGAGUUUGUGGAAGAAUAUUCCUUCACAUAUGGAUGGCAAAGAAUAAUUCUGUGACUUCAUUUUCACUCUUGCAUUGUUUUUGGUAGUUGAUAAAAUAUGAAAGUUAUAACAGGUUAAACAUUUUUUUCUUUAAGUAGGAGAGUAGAGUAUCAUUGAAGUCACAUUGGGACUCUCUUCACUGCAAUUUUGUGUUUUUCAAUUUGAACCGAAUUUUAGUCCAGCUAAGCAGAGAAGCAGCAGCAGAUGAUUGCUGCAAAAGAUGGCAGCAGCAACUUAGUGAAAAAGCAAUUAGCAGAUGGACUCUCGCUCUGUAAUUUUUUUUUCAGUUUGAACAUAAUUUUAGUUUAACAUAAGUUUAGUUUAGCAUUUCUUGAUGUAUUUUUGGAAGACUUUUUUCUUUUUUCCCUUUUUUAGAUAUUAAUUUUUCCACAUAUUUGAAAAUUUUUGGUUAUUUUAAAACAUUACUAUAAUAUUUUUAUUUUGUUUUACUUUCAACAAUUAUAGCUGGAUUUUACAUCUCAGUGGCACCUACCACUUUCUAACAGUUGAAGGAGAAAACAGUCACAGAUAUGGAUUACAUGAAAGUCUUAGUAUAUAUAGAUGAUUUUGAGAAGAACAUGGAGAAAGAUGGAUGCAAGUACUGGAAUGGCAAAAGGAAGCUGUCAAUUAACUAACUAAUGCUAGUUUUGCACAGCCUCUGUCAAGAUUAUCUCCAUAAGGUGUGAGUACUGAUUCAGAGAAGAAAAGUGCUCUUGAAUUGAACACACCACAGAAAUCUUGAGUUCUGACAACAUUUCUAGGACUUUGUGUAUAUUAUUGCAAAUUUGUAAAGAACUAUAUUGCUAUUGCUAAGCUAAUGAAUUUUCACUCAUGUAUACAUGAUCAAAGAAAACCAAAAGGAAAAGAGCAAGAGGUCAAAUUGGUUUAAAACCAUGAAGCCAUUUGGAGAUCUAUAAAAGGACAUAUAACUAUCAAAGACUUGGGUCAACUGCCUCAUGAAUAUGUAAGUAUUGCCCAUGAAGGUCCAAGCAAACCUUUUGUCCCCCACACAGAUGCCAGUCUGAAGUAUUUGAAAGCAGUCCUAUACCAAGAAAAUGAUGGUCACGAGGAACAAACUACAUUUACCAGUAGAAGACUUAAUGACAAUGAGACUCACCAUACCAUAGAUAAAUUGGAAUUCUUGACUUUGAGCUAGGUUGUUGUUGAAAAAUUCAAAGACUGUGUGUGGAACUAAAUUCCAACUGUGGACUAAGAAUAAUACAUCAACAUAUUUUGAUAAAUACCAAGUAAAUGCUUCUUGUUAUAGAUAAGUAGCAGCACUAGCCAACUAAGAAUUCAGCAUUUACUGAUAGCUAAGGAAGACUAAUGUGGACAAAGAUGCUCUUUUCCAAGGGUCACACUACAUCAAAACUACAGUCACAUGUAAGGAAAGAGUGUAGGAUUAUAUGUGAUUCCCAGAUAUCUGAGCCAUUGUCAAGUUAAUGUAUAACUAAGAUUUCGGGAUUUUUUCCCAUAUUGUGUGUCAGUGGCUUAUGCAAACUUUGUUUUAUUGAACUUUUUUUGCUUGGAUUGUCUUUAGAAGACAGCCAGGGAAAGCAGAUGGCUGAUGGGUUAUAAGAAGGGAUACAAGUCAAGAAACAUGGAAGUGAGGUUAAAGGACUUUAAGUUCUAUUCACUAGACAUUGUGUUAUUGUUGAAACAGUAGGAGAAGUUGGACCUGUGUAAUGAAAUCUUAUAUAGGACUAAUACUAAUACUGUACAUGGUACUAAAAAGCAAAUGGUGUCAUCCAGUGCUUAUCAUUCUAUGUCUAUCACCAUAAUGGCUUUGGAUGCAUAGAUCAAGAAAGAACUCUGGAUUAAGAAACAGAUUUUACUGUUUAAGAUGAGAGCAGAUGAUACUAAGAAAUGUAAGAUGAGUUUAUUAUAUACAAAGAGCUACCCACUUUUGCCUCAUAUUUGAAGAACAUAAAUUAUUUCAAUUGUACUCUAUUGAACUUGUUAGAGCACUGAAACUAGAAUAUAAAAUAGAAUAGUCAACAUAUAGUAUUUAUAGUACAUGCAUACAAUUCCACAGAAAGAAUUAGGCUAUAUAUUUUAACCAUACUUGCUUAUAUUUGGGCAGGAGUCACAUCCAUAUACUGAUUUAUGCUUUGGAGUCUCAGAAGAAGGAGAAAAUUCAAACACUCAUAAUAAACACAGUUAUCAGCUGAAAGGAAGAAGGAAGCCUAUAAACUAGGAAUGACUUUAGUUUGGAAGAGCUGAUGGAAACAAAUGACAGUAUGAUGACCAAAUUUGUUAUCAAAAGUUUUGCUGAGAAACCUUGACAUUCAAGAGGCACCCAAGUGUCUACAUACCAAAUUGUUUUAACACUGGACAACUUAACUAUUUACAGAAUUGCUCUAGAGAGUGGCUGGGGCCUGAUAGAAACAAUUAAUUACAAAUACCACUCAUUUGUAGCAGAUUUAGUAGGAUUCAUUGAUGAAGAGAAUAGAUGCUUACCUCAGUGGAAUCUUAGUAAGAAAAACUGCUUAUCAAUUAUACAAAAUGGUCUGAAUUGAUCAGAAUGAAAUGAUGCUUCCAGAGGAGAUACCAUAUAUUGUAACUCAUCAACUUUGCCAUACUGAAAACGUGGGGAAAAGAUUCAACCCAGAGACAAUACCUUUCCUCCCUGGAACUUUAUAGAAAUUUCUAGAGUCCAGAGAUAAUCCAUAGAGCCUAGAAAUGCU